rnacentral:lncRNA from 1 species
CUGUCCCAGUCACUGCUUGCUUUCCCACAGGAAAUGGAGUUCCUAGAGGAAUGCUCUCCUGGGACACCCCUAUUCCUUCUGUAGAAGCAUCCAGGGCCUGAUCUGGACACAAAGCUGAAGUGCAGUAAAAGAAAAAAAGAUUACACACUGUAAAGCAUCAUUGUAACAAAACUGACCAGAAGUUUCAUUCCGCAAAAUGAGGACAAACUGCUCCACAUGGUAGACCUCAGAACAAUAAUGUGGAUUUCAGCCUCCCCUGAGUUUCCUAUUGACAUAGCAAUUGAACAUCCAGAAGCAGCUGAAAUCUACAAGAAACAGCUAACAGUAUGGAAGAAUAAAGCAGAUUACUGCCUCCACAGGUGGGCAGCUCACUGGGACACCCAAAUCAACUUCGGAAAGAGAGUCUUACCUCAUGGAUAUAGGAAGAUCUCAUUCUUCUGACAAAACCUGUAAGUGUUUCUAACCAUAGCACUCUACCAGGCCACUUGGCUCAAAGCAAGGAGCUCCUUCAAGCUAGGAAAUUAAGAUUUCCAUUCCGCAUCAUUGCUUCUCACAAGCCAAACUUAGGAACUUCAAGGACUGUUUGGCUGGUGGUUCCUGAGGAGACAGACUGUGUAACACAAAAGAUGAGGGAAACUGGACCCUCAUCUCUGCUUGAACCAGAAGGACUCUCCCUUUUGCCACCAAGGUGCCCCUACACAACAGAUAUGAGCUUCUAGGGCUAGAAAAAGGAGAGGGUGUGGGUAACAGUAAAGACCCAGGAAGGGACUACCAUAUUAAGUUGGUCUAACCACGCACCUGUAUUAG